rnacentral:lncRNA from 1 species
CUGUAUUUUAGUUAAUGCCACUCCGACAUUGCUCAAUCUAAUAUUUAUAUAUUUCUUAAUUCCAUUCUUUUACUUUGUGUGAAUUGUUGUGAAUUGUUUUUAGAUGCUACUGUACUGUUAGAUACUACUGCACUGUUGGAGCUAGGAACACAAGCAUUUCACUACACCCGCAAUAACAUCUGCUAAAUAUGUGUAUGUGACCAAUACAAUUUGAUUUGAUUUUAGUUUGAUCAGACCAAAGAAUAUUUUUAACAUCAUCUAAGCUAAAUAUAUUUUUAGACCCAGCUUUUGGAACUUUGACUUUUCUGUAUAUAGACACUAUACUGUGAUCACUGCAUCUAAUGGGUAUGUAUACAGCUUUAGAACAAAAGAAUGUGAUCAACACAUUUGGAUGAGUACAAAGAACACUUUUUGUUAGUUUAAAAGAUCCUGUACCUGUGAUAGAGCAACACCACUCUUUUUGUUUUUUUGUCAUGGUAGCAAUGUAGGUUACGCUGUUACUCCAUGCAGUUCCAGACAGGGCAGGUCGCAGAGAAUAUUGAAAACAACAAUAAACAGCAGGGAUCUAGACAGAUACAAGUCUGGGACAAUCCACAGUCCCAGCCACAAUGGCUAACCGCGUUGCGGGCUACGUUCAAGCCCUCAAGAAAACCCUGCUAGCUUGAUAGGAAGUUAGCUAUCUCCAAACAGCUCAUCAGACCUUGGUCAGCAGGAUCACUGGACAGAUACUAGCAGUCCCAGUAACUGAUGCCAACUGUGUCGCAAGAUCCAAACUCAAAAGGAAGUGAGGUGUACCAUCUCAGGCGAUAUACAAUAGACGUUGCUGCCUUUGGGGAAAGUACUAUGGAAUAAUGCCGUGGAAUUCAUUCUCCUGCCUCCAGGACCUGAGCCCUAGGACCAUGCCUCAGGACUACCUGGCUUGAUGACUCCUUGCUGUCCCCAGCUCACCUGGCCGUGCUGCUGCUCCAGUUCUAACUGUUCUGCCUGCAGCUAUGGAACCCUGACCUGUUCACCGGACGUGCUACCUGUCCCAGACCUGUUGUCCCAGACCUGCUGGAACCCUGACCUAUUCACCGGACAUGCUACCUGUCCCAGACCUGCUGUUUUCAACUCUCUAGAGACAGCAGGAGCGGUAGAGAUACUCUCAAAGGUCGGCUAUGAAAAAGCCAACUGACACUUACUCUUGUGUUGCUGACUUGUUGCACCCUCGACAACUACUAUGAUUAUUAUUAUUUGACAAUGCUGGUCAUUUAUGAACAUUUGAACAUCUAGGCCAUGUGCUGUUAUAAUCUCCACCCGGCACAGCCAGAAGAGGACUGGCCACCCCUCAUAGCCUGGUUCCUCUCUAGGUUUCUUCCUAGGUUUUGGCCUUUCUAGGGAGUUUUUCCUAGCCACCGUGCUUCUACACCUGCAUUGCUUGCUGUUUGGGGUUUUAGGCUGGGUUUCUGUACAGCACUUUGAGAUAUCAGCUGAUGUAAGAAGGGCUAUAUAAAU